AGUCGACGAUGAAGCCCUUCGGGGUGGAUUAGUGGCGAACGGGUGAGUAACACGUGGGCAAUCUGCCCUUCACUCUGGGACAAGCCCUGGAAACGGGGUCUAAUACCGGAUAAUACUCCUGCCUGCAUGGGCGGGGGUUAAAAGCUCCGGCGGUGAAGGAUGAGCCCGCGGCCUAUCAGCUUGUUGGUGGGGUAAUGGCCCACCAAGGCGACGACGGGUAGCCGGCCUGAGAGGGCGACCGGCCACACUGGGACUGAGACACGGCCCAGACUCCUACGGGAGGCAGCAGUGGGGAAUAUUGCACAAUGGGCGAAAGCCUGAUGCAGCGACGCCGCGUGAGGGAUGACGGCCUUCGGGUUGUAAACCUCUUUCAGCAGGGAAGAAGCGAAAGUGACGGUACCUGCAGAAGAAGCGCCGGCUAACUACGUGCCAGCAGCCGCGGUAAUACGUAGGGCGCAAGCGUUGUCCGGAAUUAUUGGGCGUAAAGAGCUCGUAGGCGGCUUGUCACGUCGGAUGUGAAAGCCCGAGGCUUAACCUCGGGUCUGCAUUCGAUACGGGCUAGCUAGAGUGUGGUAGGGGAGAUCGGAAUUCCUGGUGUAGCGGUGAAAUGCGCAGAUAUCAGGAGGAACACCGGUGGCGAAGGCGGAUCUCUGGGCCAUUACUGACGCUGAGGAGCGAAGCGUGGGGAGCGAACAGGAUUAGAUACCCUGGUAGUCCACGCCGUAAACGUUGGGAACUAGGUGUUGGCGACAUUCCACGUCGUCGGUGCCGCAGCUAACGCAUUAAGUUCCCCGCCUGGGGAGUACGGCCGCAAGGCUAAAACUCAAAGGAAUUGACGGGGGCCCGCACAAGCGGCGGAGCAUGUGGCUUAAUUCGACGCAACGCGAAGAACCUUACCAAGGCUUGACAUAUACCGGAAAGCAUUAGAGAUAGUGCCCCCCUUGUGGUCGGUAUACAGGUGGUGCAUGGCGUCGUCAGCUCGUGUCGUGAGAUGUUGGGUUAAGUCCCGCAACGAGCGCAACCCUUGUCCUGUGUUGCCAGCAUGCCCUUCGGGGUGAUGGGGACUCACAGGAGACCGCCGGGGUCAACUCGGAGGAAGGUGGGGACGACGUCAAGUCAUCAUGCCCCUUAUGUCUUGGGCUGCACACGUGCUACAAUGGCCGGUACAAUGAGCUGCGAUACCGUGAGGUGGAGCGAAUCUCAAAAA
rnacentral:rRNA from 1 species